AAAAUUAGAUAAUUUUAAGCGCUAACUAAAAAACUAAUUGCACCCCUUAUUUUCCUUAAUUAAUUAAUCGUUUUCUCCCUAUUUCUUCUUAAAAGUGAAACUUUCACCCAAUCCAUGUAUCUUCGUCUUCUCCCUCAACCCAUUCUCUCUUUGUCUUCUUCACCUCUCUUCGUCUUCUUCAUCGAUUCUUCGCCAGUUGUUUGACGGAGGGAAGAGAGCAACGACUGUUGCUUGAGGGAAGCGCAGAGAGAGGCCAGAGAUAUGUCGAUUUGAGGGAUGAGGGAUCCCCGAUUUUUCUCAAUUUCUUGCGCUUGAGCUCCAUGGCAGAAAUAUGGGGUCGUAAUCAAGGUUGCUUGACAGAGACGAGAGGUCCUCUUCUUCGGCUCCUCCGAUCAAAGCCACGUCGGCCGCGGCGAUUUCCAGGAAGACCGGCAGCGGUGAUUUCCAGAAAGCCCACCAGGGGGAACGCGUCAGAUUAUCUCUCAAUUCGAUUCAUUUUUGUUUAAUUCUGUGUGAACCCAAUGCCGAUUUCUAGCUCAAUCUUCUUUUUGUUUUAAACU